CAAGUGAUUAUGCAACGGGCAUGAGAAUUCCAUCUUACAACAAUGAGUUACUGGUCUUGGCUGAGGAUUUGACACGGAGAAUGCUUCCUGCAUUCGAUACACCAACUGGAAUCCCAUUUGGGUCUGUGAAUUUGAUGUACGGUGUUGACAAACAUGAAAGCAAGAUAACAUCAACUGCGGGUGGUGGUACUUU